AAAGUGCCUACUGUUGAAACACAUCUGAUCUCAUCUGAAAGCUGAUUCCAGCUACAGGUUUAUACUGUUGUAUUCUUUUAUACUGUUUCAUUCGUACUGUUUUAAAUUCUUCAGUAAAUGCAAAGUUAAACCGAUCAUACUGUUGUAUUCUUUUAUACUGUUUUAUUCGUACUGUUUAUUCAGUAAAUGCAAAGUUAAACCGUUGUGUCUUUAAUCUAGAUUUAAAAGUGCCUACUGUUGAAACACAUCUGAUCUCAUCUGAAAGCUGAUUCCAGCUACAGGUUUAUACUGUUGUAUUCUUUUAUACUGUUUCAUUCGUACUGUUUUAAAUUCUUCAGUAAAUGCAAAGUUAAACCGAUGUGUCUUUAAAUCUAGAUUUAAAAGUGCCUACUGUUGAAAUACAUUUGAUCUCAUCUGAAAGCUGAUUCCAGCUACAGGUUCAUACUGUUGUAUUCUUUUAUACUGUUAUAUUCGUACUGUUUUAAAUCAUUCAGUAAAUGCAAAGUUAAACCGAUCAUACUGUUGUAUUCUUUUAUACUGUUUAAUUCGUACUGUUUUAUAUUCUUCAGUAAAUGCAAAGUUAAAUCGAUGUGUCUUUAAUCUAGGUUUAAAAGUGCCCACUGUUGAAACACAUCUGAUCUCAUUUGAAAGCUGAUUCCAGCUACAGGUUCAUACUGUCGUAUUCUUUUAUACUGUUUUAUUCGUACUGUUUUAAAUCAUUCAGUAAAUGCAAAGUUAAAACGAUCAUACUGUUGUAUUCUUUUAUACUGUUUUAUUCGUACUGUUUUAAAUCAUUCAGUAAAUGCAAAGUUAAACCGAUGUGUCUUUAAUCUAGAUUUAAAAGUGCCUACUGUUGAAACACAUCUGAUCUCUUCUGAAAGCUGAUUCCAGCUACAGGUUCAUGCUGUUGUAUUCUUUUAUACUGUUUCAUUCGUACUGUUUUAAAUCAUUCAGUAAAUGCAAAGUUAAACCGUCGUGUUUUUCAUCUAGAUUUAAAAGUGUCUACUGUUGAAACACAUCUGAUCUCUUCUGAAAGCUGAUUCCAGCUCCAGGUGGCAUAUUAACUGAAUGCUGAUGCACCUUGUAUUUCGAUUGCUUUGCCUGCUUGAAACAUGUGAAGAAUUGACAAUAAAUAAUCUUUAUCAAGUGUUAUACAUUAAAAAGUGGAUAAGUAACAAAAAUGUCACCCCUGACAGCUGAUAAAUUAAUGUUUUUUUAUAGCACCAUUGAGGCGAGCACUUUUCAAGGCAAGAUUCUUUAUAGAACCUUAUAAAAAGUUUCCAUAUAGUACCAAAAAACGGGUUCUGCUGUGGUUACAUGCUGAGGAACCCUUAUUUGGUACUUUUUAGGAGCAUUUGUCUUAAGAGCGUUGCAUAGGUUCGAAACUUUCAAACUUGAAACCAAAUAGAAGGGUCACACUGUUUUAUUUGUGGAGUGGACAUGAACAAGCUGCAGGCAUUCAAAUGUUAUUUGUAAUGUAUUGUCUUAUUUCAUAUUAAAAAAAUAGCUAUACAACUGGUGUUCCUCAAUUUUAGGGCCUAUUUUGUUUAGUAUAUCAGUUUUGUUCAGUUUUUUAAGUGCAUGCAAAAAGCAAUCAGCAAGCAAAUUAACUGAAGCUUUACCUUCAUGUUCUUUUUGUGUAAGUGAUAACUGUUUCUGUAUGUAUUUUAUGUAUUUGUAUGUUUUUUACACGUAUAGAGUGAAAUGCACACGGUGAGGAAUGGACCCAGACCUUCAGUGCCAGACCUCUGACCCGUUAACCUCCAUCCCGACAGCCAGCGCCUUCUCCGGCACCCAUUGCGGUAUCGCUUCUCGGCUUUUUGGACAAGAUCAAGUGGACACCGGGGACUACAAGUUUAAAUGGAUUUUUGACCUUCGGAAAUGGAAGCGAGGCUUGCUCCGUCCACUCCAUUCAUCGACUCGGGCGCUUUCCGGGCACAAAUAAGUUUGCGGAGGUGAUACCAGGACGAAUUAAACAGCCUCGACACAGCUGAAGGCGCAACAAAAUCGUACGAGACAGUUUGGGAUGUUAAAAACACCUGAAAACUUUUUUUUUCCACUACCCUUCAUACUACAGCUGUCGAAAAACCACAGCAACGUCGACACGCCUGGAAGCACGGCUGUCGAAGAACCACAGCAACGUCGGCAGAUCUGGAAGCAUAGCUGUAUUUGUUUAACUCACAACGACAACGGCUGUCGAAAAACCACAGCAACGUCGACAGACCUGGAAGCAAAGCUGUAUUUGUUUAACUUGCAAAGACAACGGGUAAAGUAUUUUCUUGAUUACCUAAAUGACUUGCAGUAAGAAAAUAUUUCAAUUUAUAAUAAUGAUAAUUCUGUCAUCAUUUACUCAUCCUCCUGUUGUUUUAAACCUGUAUGCGUUCGUUUUUUCUGAUUAACACAAAAGAAGAUAUUUUGAGGAAUGAUGGUAAACCCACAGCAGAUAGUGACCAAUGACUUCCAUAGUAGGAAUAAAAAAUAUGAUGAAAUUUAAUAGGUACCAUCAACUGUGUGCUAACCAUCAUUUUUCAAAAUAUUUUCUUCAUCAUUUAUCACGAUACUUCCAAAAUAUUUUUUUCCUACUAUGGAAGUCAAUGAUAAUGUAUUUCAUUAUUUGCUUUACAAGCCUGAAAAUGAUAGGUUGGAAUCCAGGUGACAGGAUUCUAUGGUAGUCAAAAACAGGUAAACAAGUAAAAUAAUCACCAUUUACUUUUAAAGCAUUUUGAAAAUUGCUUGCUUAUGCUGGAAGUAAAGGUAUUUAAUGCAGUGCGCGUCCUGUUUAAAAGGUAAUGUAUGAUUCUUUUAAAGCUGACACAUUUGCCACAUUAAAAUAACAGAAAUGUACUGUUUCAACAUUUUGGAGCCGGUGUGUCUGUGUUCUUGGGGCACAUCUAAAUGUAAGAGCAGAAUUGCUUAUUAUUCUUCUCUAUUUCUUGUAUAGGUCAAUUAUGAGUGAAGAACCGUGCACCAAAUGAAGACCACGGCCAGGUGCCGGGAUUGUGUGGUAAUCACAAACAGGUUGAAAAUUGAAGUUCUGUGUGUUCUUUUUGUACUUUAUUUAUUUCUGCAGGUAAGCACCAUACCGUAAGCUUCAUUCCCUUUAUAACAGGUAAGGUUCAUACUGUUUUAUUCUUUUAUACUGUUUUAUUUUAAAUCAUUCAGUAAAUGCAAAGUUAAACCGAUGGUGUUUUUAAUCUAGAUUUAAAAGUGCCUACUGUUGAAACACAUCUGAUCUCAUCUGAAAGCUGAUUCCAGCUACACAGGUUCAUACUGUUGUAUUCUUUUAUACUGUUUUAUUCGUACUGUUUUAAAUCAUUCAGUAAAUCUAAAGUUAAACCGAUCAUACUGUUGUAUUCUUUUAUACUGUUUUAUUCGUACUGUUUUAAAUCAUUCAGUAAAUGCAAAGUUAAACCGAUCAUACUGUUGUAUUCUUUUAUACUGUUUUAUUCGUACUGUUUUAUAUUCUUCAGUAAAUGCAAAGUUAAACCGAUGUG